CAGUAGCCACGGUAAUACAGAGGGGGCAAGCGUUAUCCGGAAUUAUUGGGCGUAAAGGGUACGUAGGUGGCCUUUUAAGCGUAGGGUAUAAGGCAAUGGCUCAACCAUUGUUCGCCCUAUGAACUGGAAGGCUUGUGUGCAGGAGAGGAAAGCGGAAUUCCUAGUGUAGUGGUGGAAUGCAUAGAUAUUAGGAGGAACAUCAGCGGCGAAGGCGGCUUUCUGGACUGCAACUGACACUGAGGUACGAAAGCGUGGGGAGCAAACAGGAUUAGAUACCCCUGUAGUCCCUGUCUCUUAUACA
rnacentral:rRNA from 1 species